rnacentral:rRNA from 1 species
UACGGAGGAUCCAAGCGUUAUCCGGAUUUAUUGGGUUUAAAGGGUGCGUAGGCGGUUUGAUAAGUUAGAGGUGAAAUACCGGUGCUCAACACCGGAACUGCCUCUAAUACUGUUGAACUAGAGAGUAGUUGCGGUAGGCGGAAUGUAUGGUGUAGCGGUGAAAUGCUUAGAGAUCAUACAGAACACCGAUUGCGAAGGCAGCUCACUGGACUGCAACUGACACUGAGGCUCGAAAGUGUGGGUAUCAAACAGG